UACGGAGGGAGCUAGCGUUGUUCGGAAUUACUGGGCGUAAAGCGCACGUAGGCGGCUUUGUAAGUUAGAGGUGAAAGCCCGGGGCUCAACUCCGGAACUGCCUUUAAGACUGCAUCGCUUGAAUCCAGGAGAGGUGAGUGGAAUUCCGAGUGUAGAGGUGAAAUUCGUAGAUAUUCGGAAGAACACCAGUGGCGAAGGCGGCUCACUGGACUGGUAUUGACGCUGAGGAGCGAAAGCCAGGGGAGCAAACGGGG
rnacentral:rRNA from 1 species